CGGGAUGGAGCAGUCUGGUAGCUCGUCGGGCUCAUAACCCGAAGGUCGUUGGUUCAAAUCCAGCUCCCGCUACCA
rnacentral:tRNA from 1 species